rnacentral:rRNA from 1 species
AGAGAGAGACAUGCGCGCAUAUCAAUAAGCGGAGGAAAAGAAACUAACUAGGAUUCCCUCAGUAACGGCGAGUGAAGCGGGAAGAGCUCAAAUUUGAAAUCUUCAAGGUUCUACCUUGACGAAUUGUAGUUUAAAGAAGUGUUUUCUGUUGGAGUUUUGGUAAAAGUUCUUUGGAAUAGGACAUCAUAGAGGGUGAGAAUCCCGUAUUUGACCAUUAUUUCAGCUUUGUGAUACACUUUCAAAGAGUCGGAUUGUUUGGGAAUGCAGUCCAAAAUGGGUGGUAAAUUUCAUCUAAAGCUAAAUACUUGGCGAGAGACCGAUAGCGAACAAGUACCGUGAGGGAAAGAUGAAAAGAACUUUGAAAAGAGAGUUAAACAGUACGUGAAAUUGUCAAAAGGGAAGCGUUUGACACCAGUGUUGUUUUCUCGAAAAUCAACUAAAAAAGGCAGGAUUUUGUGUUGUAUUGACUUUAUCAGCUUUCUGCACUCUUUUCCUGUCUUUUUUAAUGCACUUUUCGUUUAACAAGUCAACAUCAAUUUCUUUUGUUGUAAAAGGGUCAUUGGAAGGUGGCUUUCUUUUCGGAGAAAGUGUUUAUAGCCUUUGGCCUCUGCAAUCGGAGAGAUUGAGGUCUGCAGCGUAGAUCCUUCGGGGUUAGAUACAUUUGUGCUAAGUUAUAGCCUUUCAUAGACAACUUGUUGACUAUGAUCAGUCAUGUAGCUUACUCGCUUAUGCUAUUUUACCUACGCUUAGGAUGUUGAUGUGAUACUGCGAGC